CCCCGGGCCGGGAUGUGACAGAUACUACAAAAUCUUAUUUUAUACUUAAUUAAGCAUAAUAUUAACUCAAAUGUUUGUUUAAUCUACCGUUUUGACCAAGGUUCUAAAAAACGCUAGGCGCUAGUCGGGCGGCGGGCUAGGGCCUGGCGCCUAGGCGGCUAGGCGGGGCCUAGGCGGACGCCUAGGCGGACUAGGCGGAUUUAAGUAAAUUUGUUAUAUAUCAUAUAAAUUAAUUCAAUUUAUUAUAUAAUAUGUAAUUAACAUUGAAUAAUAUGUUAAUUUUUUUUAAAGAAAAAUAUACAUGUCUAAAAUUUUAGACUUUUUUUUUAGUUUUGUAUCAUUAUCUUAGCCAUUAAUUUUUGUUGGGCCUUUUAUUUUAAUUAACAAAAUGCAAGAUUGGGCUUGUUUUAAAUUUUGAAUAGCAUCCUAACAAAAAACCCAAAGGCCGGCUAACCCAUUUAUCGUAUUAGAAUAUAAAAUUAAGAGCACUUGUAUUUAUGGGUGAAAUGGUCAUCCCAGUCACCAACUCACCUUUAGAAAACAAAACCCUAACUACGACUGCUCGCUUCUAAAACCAUGGCCGCCGUCAGCAUCUCUGCAAUUGCAGAUGCACUCUCUAUCUCUCUCUCCCUCAUCUCGUAUACCAUCGUCACACUAAGACUCGGUUAGACAAGACAGCCAGACCCGGGAAGACAAGACAGCGAGACGCAGAGCGCCCAGAUUGCCCAACGUUGGACUGCUUCUGGGUAGGAAUUCGUAUUUUCCAAGACUGCCCAGACCGUCCAACUUCUGUCUUGCCCGCCUAGCGUUCGUCUUCCCGCCUAUGCAUCUGCCUUACGCCACCUAAUUGCCUUGCCGAUUUAAUUAACGAUUUCGGUAUAAUCGUGGCGGAACACUGCCGUCUAGCGCCUCGGCGCCGCCUAGGCGGCCACCUAGAGCGCGUUUUAGAACACUGGUUUUGACGCAACAUGCAUUCUACGAAAUGUUUUUCAACGAUUCAACCGUCAAAAUUAUUUGUACACACUCCGAGAUUGCAUACAUAAAAAAUCGUAAAAAACAAACAUUCAGAGAUUAGGCAACGAAAUAAAAGUUUUUGACGGUUAUAAAAGAAAAAUCACAAUUUAACGGUUAUUUUAGCUUCGAUUUUGAUGAUUUUUUACUGCUACACUCCUUAACCCUAUAAGAAUGUAAUCAAUAAAUUUGAUCUUCAAUUUAAAAUAUUUACACUAGUGGAUACCACAAAAUCUUAUUUUAUACUUAAUAGAAGUAUAAUAUUAACUCUAAGUGUUUGUUUAAUCUACCGUUUUGAUGCAAUAUGCAUUCUACGAAACUUUUUUCAACAAUCCAACCGUCAAAAUUAUUUGUACAUACUCCAAGAUUGCAUACGUAAAAAAUCGUAAAAAACAAACAUUCAGAUAUUACAUAACGGAACAAAAGUUUUUGAUGAUUAUAAACGAAAAAUCAUAAAUUUAACGGUUAUUUUAGCUCUGAUUUUGAUGAUUUUUUACAGCUACACUCCUCGACCCUAUAAGAAUGUAAUGAAUAAAUUCGAUCUUUAAUUUAAAAUAUUUACACUGGUAGAUAACACAAAAUCUUAUUUUAUACUUAAUAGAAGUAUAAUAUUUACUCUAAGUGUUUGUUUAAUCUACCGUUUUGACACUAUGCAUUAUACGAAACUUUUUUCAACGAUCCAACCGUCAAAAUUAUUUGUACACACUCCGAGAUUGCAUACGUAAAAAAUCGUAAAAACCAAACAUUCAGAGAUUAGGUAACGGAACAAAAUUUUUCGACGGUUAUAAAAGAAAAAUCACAAUUUAACGGUUAUUUCAGCUCCGAUUUUGAUGAUUUUUUUACAGCUACACUCCUCAACCCUAUAAGAAUAUAAUGCAUAAAUUUGAUCUUCAAUUUAAAUAUUUACACUAGUGGAUACAAGAACUUAUUUUAUACUUAAUUGAAGCAUAAUAUUAAUUCAAGUGUUUGUUUAAUCUACCGUUUUGAAGCAACAUGCAUUCUACAAAACUUUUUUCAACGAUUCAACCGUCAAAAUUAUUUGUACACAGUUCGAGAUUGCAUACGUAAAAAUCGUAAAAAACAAACAUUUAGAUAUUACGUAACAGAACAAAAGUUUUCGAAAGUUAUAAACGAAAAUCACAAUUUAACGGUUAUUUUAGCUCCGAUUUUAAUGAUUUUUUACAGCUACACUCCUCGACCCUAUAAGAAUGUAAUGAAUAAAUUUGAUCUUUAAUUUAAAAUAUUUACACUAGUGGUUACCACAAAAUCUUAUUUUAUACUUAAUAAAAGUAUAAUAUUAACUCUAAGUGUUUGUUUAAUAUACCGUUUUGACGCAAUAUGCAUUCUACGAAACUUUUUUCAACGAUCCAACCGUCAAAAUUAUUUGUACACACUCUGAGAUUGCAUACGUAAAAAAUCGUAAAAAAACAAACAUUUAGAGAUUAGGUAACGGAACAAAAGCUUUCGACGAUUAUAAAAGAAAAAUCACUAUUUAACGGUUAUUUUAGCUCCGAUUUUGAUGAUUUUUUACAGCUACACUCCUCAACCCUAUAAGAAUGUAAUGAAUAAAUUUGAUCUUCAAGUUAAAAUAUUUACACUGGUGGAUACCACAAAAUCUUAUUUUAUACUUAAUAGAAGUAUAAUAUUAACUCUAAGUGUUUGUUUAAUCUACCGUUUUGAUGCAACAUGCAUUCUACGAAUUUUUUUUCAACGAUCUAACCUUCAAAAUUAUUUGUACACACUUCGAGAUUGCAUACAUAAAAAAUCGUAAAAAAAAACAUUCAGAUAUUACAUAACGGAACAAAAGUUUUCGACGAUUAUAAAAAAAAAAUCACAAUUUAACGAUUAUUUUAGCUCCGAUUUUGAUGAUUUUUUACAGCUACACUCCUCGACCCUAUAAGAAUGUAAUGAAUAAAUUCGAUCUUUAAUUUAAAAUAUUUACUGACACACCCCGACCGAAGUCAAGGCAUGAUGGCCGUCACGUGAGCGUGACGUAGCCAUGUGCGCUGUGCGGAAGCGAUAUUUUAUAAGGAAAGUACGAAUAAAUUAAACCAACUACGAUAGGUUCUAAUUUGAGUUUAAGUGUGAAUACACAACCAGAGCACAAGGUCUAAGUGCAGUCAAACAUAAGAUGUACAUAUUUAACAACACUCGAAGUUGGUCCUACAUGAGUGGUGGUUUGUCAGAACUUUCAGCUGGACACUUCGAGAUUCACCGAUAUACGCUACCUAGAACCUGGAGGGGCGCAAAACAAAGUUGAGUGGGUCAGCAAAACAAACUUAUUCAAAACCUUCUUUUUUUUCUUUUGAAUGUACUAACCCCUCGCCGUAAAACAAGUAUAAUUUUCCAGCAAUAAAGUAUAUAAUCAUAUACGUAAUAUAUAUCAAAUCAUGCUGAACAAUAUGAAUGUAUGUCAUGCCAAAUAUCAUAACUGAAUGCUUAACAUCCUAUGUGAAUCUGAUGGGAUAACAUAUAAUCAAUUCAACGCUCGGCUAUAAACAUAAUUCAUAAUCAUCUCAUCACAAUCAACUCAGCCCUCAGCUGCAUAUAUAGCUCAUAAUCAUCUCAUCACAUCAUUUAUAAACAUGUAUAUCCUGCACACAUUCAAUACCACCUCACGUGGUCUGCAAUUCAUCAUCGUAUAUAAUAUAAUAUGCUCUAGUGCUACAAUCACGUGAAGCUGUGCGAUAAAUUGCGGGUCACCUACAAGUCGAACCCACAUAAGUGGUCUAUACGACAGGCUGUACACCUAACUUGGAUCCAAGGCGAGCAUGCGGUGCGGGAGGUGAACAUCACGUGAAAGACUGUGCCUCUAUCUCUGGGCGGGAGCACUAAUAUACGUGUGCAAGUAAAUGAGCUUUCAAUCACAUCUCAAUCGAAUCAUAUAAUUCAUCAUAUUCCAAUCUUAUCUCAUGAUCGUUAUAAGCAUAAUAUGUCAAUUGUAUCUCAAUUCUAUCUCAAAUCAUAUCACAAUUAUAUCUCAAACAUAUCUCAAUCUCAUUCCAAACAUAUCUCAAUCACAUUUCAUACGUAUAUCCACUGUAUUUCGUAUGUAUUUCAAACGUAUAUUAUACGUAUUUCAAAUGUAUAUUAUACGUAUUUCAAAUGUAUUUUGUACGUAUUUCAAAUGUAUAUUGUACGUAUUUCAAAUGUAUAUUAUACGUAUAUCAAUCGUAUUUCAAACGUAUAUACUUACGUACUUCAAAUGUAUUUCAUAUGUAUAUCAAUCAUAUUUCAAAUGUAUUUCAUAUGUAUAUCAAUCAUAUUUCAAAUGUAUAUACUUACGUGUAGCUUACCUGGGCCUCCUCAGCACCAUGCAACAAUAUGCAUAAUUAUAAUAAUGCACAUACUAAAAUAUGAUGCAUACAUGAUAAGUUGCUUAAUUCGUAUUUCUUUUAAAUACGUUUUCUGGGAAAUACGUCAAGUAUACGUAUAUAUAUACUAAAAAAUAACUGCCCACUCACUGAUAAGUAGCUGGUUCAUAACCCCCUCGCCUAUUUUGGUUACGUUCUUCGUCCGUAUAAUUUUUACCUAUACAAAAAUAAUUAUAAAACAUCAUUUAAACGCACAUACACAAACAUACGUCAAUAACUUUCUCAUACGUUGCUCAAUUUGGGUAUGUGAAUAUACCACGGUGAUCUACACGACGUCACGAACACGUGACAAUUUUCAGAACUUGAUUUGGGUCUCUCACGCGCCCUCACGCGCCACCUGUACGCGCUGCCCACACGCGCGUCUUCUUCCUCGCGUCGCCGGACUGGUUUCGCCGGAGGUGGUGUUGCCAGAAUUUCUGGGUAAACUUCAAAGUGUCAUAACUUCUUCAUUUCUUAACCAUUUUCGACGUACUUUAUAUCAAAAUGAAGGUAUUGACGAGACGAACACAUCCAUAUCUGCCUUGACCCCUAACGCGGCGUGGAUUCACCGGAAAAAGCCCCGAAAGCUCCGGCCAAACUUUGAUCUCGUCGUUCUCCGUGUUCUUACGUCCAAACACUUCCAACGAACUACUCCAAACCUCCUAAGGACCUCAAGAAGCUUCCUAUAAGCUUGAAAAGUCCUAAAAAUCAACCAAUAAAAAGUUGAUGAAUAGUACCUAAACCGGAGUUCGUAUUUUCGACGUGAAAACGUUAUAGUUCUUACCUGAAAUUGGUAUGGUUGGACUCGUAUCGUCGAAACGAAGAAGAUGGUGAUUUUUCUUCGUCGAUCUAUGAAGUUUUGAUGAACUUGUUGUUUGGUCCGUGGGUUUUGAGAGAAGGAGAGAGAGAGCUUGAGAGCUUGACGGGAGAGAAUGAGAGUUGAGUUUGAGGGAGCUGAGGGAAAAUAAAAGAGAGUGAUUGAGGGAACAAAGUGGAGGGUUUCACGGAAAAGAAAAAGAAAAGUAAGGGAAAAUGAAUGAUUUCUGUAAGCCCUAGGGGUGGGCACGGUUUGGUUUAGUGCGGUUUUGAGUGAAACCAAAACCAAAACCGCAAGUUUUUGCGGUUUGGUUUGGUGCGGUUUUGAAGCUAAAACCGAAAUGAAACCAAACCAUUUGGUUCGGUUUGGUUUGGUUUUAAACGGUUUUGGUUUGGUUUCGUUGUUUGAAAAAACUAUUAAAGUGCUAAAAACUACAUUGUAUGCUCUCUUUGUUACUGUCACAAGAAAGUAUGAAUAGCCAAACACUACUUCAUAAGCUAAACUAAAAGUAAAACAGUUUGGCAUCAUUAAUGAUUGUAGUUAGAAUUUUCUUAAACAUAACCAGUUAAGGAGACAAAGGAAGUUUUCAGCACAAAAAAAAUAAUUCAUACCGCAACAAAAUAUUUCAACUUGAUGAUGACAAUAUUAAAAUUUAACUUAAAAUAAAGUUCAACAUUAAAAAUCAAAAUACCAUAAGGUUUAGGACACUUACUUUGCAUCAUUCAAGUUUCAAACUUCUGCCUUUCCCCUUCCUUUUGCACACUUACUAGCCGAAGGUUUAGGAGGUCUUUGAACUUGUGAGCGGGCUUGAGAAGCCGAUACUUGUGAAGAAUUUGCACGUUGUAAAUUUGAAAACAAUGGAUGGGAAGCCAUUGAUCCUUGUGCACUAGAACUUUUUGAUUGACUUGGAGUUGGAGCUUGUUGUGAUUGUGGAUUAAGAGUAAGAGAGGCGAGAGUUGAGGUUGAUUUGGCCACCUCUACAUAAUACAAAACAUAAACAAUAUAAAUCACAUUAGUUGUUAGAAACUUUAAAAAACAUACAAAAGAACAAAAUAUAUUGAAAAAGAAAACUACGAAAGUUCUUUAACUUGAAAUGAUAUACUUACCCGAUUCAAUACUUUCAUAGAACUCAAUGUGCUCAACCGAAGGUGCAUCAUCCUCCAAAGUAAUAAUGCUAUCGCCCCUCAACCAAUUUUGCAUGCAUAUAAAGGCCUCUACCGAUUUAGGAGUUAAAGAACUCCUAAAAUCUGAAAUUACUCGACCCCCGGUGCUAAAAGCACUCUCCGAUGCCACGGUAGAGACUUGAAUAGCAAAAAUAUCUUUUGCAAUGGCGGCCAAGAUAGGAUACUUAGUACCAUUCAUCUUCCACCAUAAGAGAAUGUUAAAAUGCUUCGUGGACUCCUCUUUUGUAAUUUGCACCAAAGGAUCCAACAAAUACGAGUCCACCUCAUCUCUCACCACUUUCUCAUCACUAUCUUCAACAAAAUGCAUCCAUUCAUCAACAAGAUCAUCUUCCAUUGACACCACAUCGGAUGAAGUAGAAGAAUAUUGUGCUUGUGAAGGGCCUUUCUUCAUGUGUUUUCCACCUUCAACAUUAGGAGCAUAUGCAUCAUAAAGGGCAUGCAAUAGAUCUUUUACUUCAUUAGCUUUCAAUAAUGCCUCAAAAUCGGAAAGUUUCUUUUUAAAGAGUUGUGUGACAUGCCUCAACUUGAACCUUGGAUCCAAAACAAGUCCAAUCAUAAUUAGAGGGUUCAAUUCAUGGUAUGAGUCAAAAUAUUUUUCAUAUUUUGAUCUCAUGUCGGAAGCCAUGGCCUUCAAUAAUUGCUCCGAAGGUAGACCGACUUGCAUGUUGGCUCGGGACUCUAAAUUAUUUAUAGCGGUCUCUAUUUUUAUGACAUCAUGGAGGCCGGUAUGAACUGUGGGAUGUGUAGAAGCACUAACCCUCAAAGUCACAUCAUAGAACACCCGUAAAAACUUGACAAAAGCUUCCGCCUUGAGCCAAUCUUCUUCCGUAGGUGGUCCAACCAUUUUCCUCCCUUUAAUUUGGCAAGCAAUAAACACCCCAUCUUCAUCUUUUUCAUCUUCAACUUCCUUAAAGUAAGCCACAAAGGGACUUUUUACAUCCUCCGCCAUAGUGGCAAAGGCCUUCUUAAACUUCAAAGCUACAUCCAACAUAACAAAUGUAGAAUUCCACCGAGUAGGACAAUCAAGGCAAACCGUUGCUUUGCACGUCAACUUCACCAAAUUCACGGCUUGCCUAAAAAACUGCAAUCUUUGUGGAGAGCUCCUCACAAACCUCACACAAUUUCGUAUUGCUAAAAGACCAUUCUUUAGCCUCUUCAUCCCAUGACUCACAAUUAUGUUGGUUAUGUGAGCGAUGCAUCGUACAUGUAAAUACUUGCCACCUAAAAUAGCUUGUGAAUUUUCCCACCUAUUCAUUUUUACCAUAAGUUGAUCCAAAGCAACUUUAUUUGCGGAAGCAUUGUCCACUGUGAUUGUCAUAACUCUAUCUAUCCCCCAUUCCAACAAGCAAUUUUCAAUUAACUUUGCAAUUGUGGUUCCAUAGUGGUUAGGAAUAACACAAAAGUUUAUGAUCCUCUUGUGCAUAUUCCAUUCAUCAUCAAUGAAGUGUGCAGUAAGAACCAUAUAAUUGAUAUUUUGUGUGCUUGUCCAAGUGUCGGUGGUGAGACAGAUUCUGUGCCCACUUAAGUUUUUCUUCAAAGAAGUCUUCCAUUCUUCAUACAUGUUGAGAAAAGUUCUAACAAGUGUUCUUCUAGAAGGCACAUUAAACAAUGGAAUACCAACAUCCAAAAAAGCCGAAACCCCAUCUUAUCAACGGUACUAAAUGGCAUCUCAUCUAUGACUACCAUCUUGACACAUGCUUCUAAUACAUUAACUUGUGAAAAGCCAACAACAACCACAUUGUUAUCUUUACUUUUAUCCUCAAAACACUUUUUGCUUUUUACAUUUAUUCCCCUGAUAAAAUCUACAAUAUUUUUCAAUGUGGUGUUUCAUAGUUGAGGUGCCAUUUACUCUCGGUUCAGCUGCAUAGUCACCAUCAUUGCUCUUUUUCGAACAAUAAUUACACUUAGCUCUCCUAAGUUGUUUAUCCACCCAAACUUCCUCCCCCUUAUCAUUGAUUGUUUUCACUUUUUUCGUCACAUAGUAUGUUGUAAAAUGCUCCCAAACCCAACUACGCUUUCUUGAAUCAGAGUUACUUACUUGUGCAUCAUCUUCACCUUCAGAUUCAUUUCCAUCAUUUUUUGGGUCACCUUCAACAUUUUCUUGAUUUUCUGGAUCAAUUUCUAUUGUCUCAUCCUCCGGCUUCUCAGGGGAGUCACCCGUUGAAGAGAGAGCAACCGAACUAUGUUUGCUAGAUUCUUCAAAUCUUGACUGAAACAUAAAAGAAAAGUAAGCAGCAACAACAAUUAACAAUUAUCAGUAGUGUUUGGACUCCCUAUUGGACAACAUAUGAGUAACAGGUUUGGUUCGUUUUGUGAUCCAAAUCCAAUUUUUUUUCCAUUGAACACGUCAUGCUUAGUUUCAACAUGUUAAAUAGUUAUGAAUCACUUAUCCUGCUUGGCCUAUGUUGUAUUGUUUGAUAACUUUUUUUUUAUCGUAUGGGUAGAUGUUUCCACAAGGAAGGAUGCAAUUUGAGUACAUGAUCAAACCAAGGAUUAUAGAGCAGAUACUUUUAGUACAAUUCCGUUAAGUAGUGCCUCUCUUCAUUCAGGCCUGCAUUGAGUCUAAACUUGUAGGACAACUCAAUCACAGCUACAAAUAUUAACCACUGUACAUAUAAAUUACAAAGAAAACUCAUAUAUUGUAUAAGAACAAACCUCGCAACUUUCGAAAUUAUAUGUUGCAUACGAUUAACCGAUCCCCAC
rnacentral:lncRNA from 1 species